UUUGGGUUGAAAAUGGGGAUUUUUUUGGGAUGAAAAUCAGAAUUUUUUGGGUCAAAAAUCGGAACUUUUUGGGGUGAAAAAAGAGAAUUUUUUUUGACGAAAAUCAGGAUUUUUUGGGACGAAAAUCAGAUUUUUUUGGGUUGAAAAUCAGAAUUUUUUGGGGACAAAAAUCAGAAUUUUUUGUGUCGAAAAUCGGGAUUUUUUGGGGUGAAAAUGGGGAUUUUUUUGGGGUGAAAAAAGGGAUUUGGGGUCUCAGUGCACCAUGUACUCCUUGCGCUUGUGCAGGCGGCUCUGGCACAGGGAGAAGGGGAAUUUCUGGCUGAAAAUCAGGAAUUUUUGG